rnacentral:lncRNA from 1 species
GCGCUUUGAUCUCUCCGGGGGCGGAGGGAACUCCAUAAGAUUCUUUUUUUCUCCUCUCUUUGCAAUUUCUUCUGGUGAGCUUUCCUUUCCUUUGGAGCAACUUCAAAGUUUCGUUUUUUUUUUUUGGGUUCAAAGUUUCUCUGCUGUGUAUUUAUUCUCAACAAGUUUGCUUUUUAUUCUCUUUGUUCGAAUUAUUUUAGGGGAGAGAGAAAGUUGGGGGAGCGAUUGAAACGCUGUAACUUGAUCCAUCGUUUGUUUUUUCUUCCGACUCGUUUAAGGUUGAGGAGGGUAAAACAUAAAGAGAAGAAUUACAUUUUUUGGAGGGACAAUAUAGUUUGGUUAACUUAAUUAUUGAGCCAAAAAAUCCAUAUAAUAACAUAUCAUCACCACCAAUUAUACAAUAACAUUUUUUUCUCCAAAUUCUUUCCAUAAAAACCACAUAAUCUGUUUAUUUUAUCUUUCAAAUAGAAUAAAAUUUGAUUUGUUUCUCAAGGAAAUACUGACUAUGCUAUUUUGCGCUCUCGCUGCC